UUUCUUGGUGCUCCUUCCUCCCACCAAGAGCACCGUGGCUUAUUUGGUAGGGAUGCUGUGCAAUGCUGAAGAGCAACAUCCUGUGGUCAGCACAUCUGGAGAAACCCCUGCCUCUCUGCAGCCUGGUCCUCUGCUGUUGUGGAAGCAAAACCUCUUGGCUGGCAGCAUAACCUCAGGCUGCAAGGAAGCCAUCCAAAGGGAAGCUGUUGUGUGCAGCUCUUAGUUGCUGUUUCAACUAUCAGCUGAUGCUGCACAAGAAGGAAAUGCAGAGACCAACAUUCAUCACUUGAAGUGACUUGGGACCCUCAUUCCAGGGAGAAGAGAUCAACCCCCACCGGGCUCCAAACUCCUUACUCCAUUUCUCCAGGCUGAACAACCUCAGUUGCCUCAGCUGCUCCUCACCAACUCUGUUCUCCAGACCCUUCACCAGCUUCAUUGACCUUCUCUGGAUAUGCUCCAGCACCUCAAUGUCCUUCUUGUAGUGAGUGGCCCUAAACUGAACCCAGUACUCAAUCCAAACAGACCUGGCAUGGAGAUGUAAUUCCUUUUACCUUACUGAGUAAGACUUGAGUGCUUGCAGGAGGAGGUGGUGGGUUAGUCAGGGACCAGGCAUGUGAUGCACAACCAGCACCUUCUUUACUUAAAGCAACACAUAACCGAAUGAGCUGCUCUCAGCUGUGGAAAAGCAAAUGCAUGCUGAGUCCUGUUUGUGCCCACAGAGCCACGCACAUGUUCCCAACCUUUUAUAGCAACACUCCU